AUGAAAGGAUUGAAUACACACACAAAAAAAGCACAAAACCAAAAGAGGCAAACACCCCGAAGGCAUCUCCCCAAAGAACCCAAAACUAAAGAGAUACAAAAACUUUCACUGUGCACGUCCAUAGUGGGAUUCUCCAACCUGAUACUGUACACUGAAUUUUGUCAAAUGAGGAUUAUUUUGAAGGUGGGGGGGGUUUGUGGAGGAGCAUGUAAUCCUGUAAGGAAGUACAGCUUUGUUGGCGCACAUGUAAAGUUCAACACAUGUAACACAGUGCUGAAUUGUAGUGAGAUAAGAGAAAAGGCACUGCUUGAAUUAGAAGCUGCCAGUCAGAGGUUUGGUAGGCUUUCCUCAUACACCUCAGGAGAAUAUGUAAACAACUUCCAUCUUUCCUUGGUGAUUUCGGUAAAAACAACUGUGUUUAACUCAUAUUGGCAGAUGCAGAAAGCGCUACAUGAAAUGAUGGAGGAGAAAAAAAGCCUGGAAGCAGAACUAGCAGCAAGCAAGCAGCAGGUCAAACAGGUUCUCAGUGAGAUGACUGACAAGACUGAACUGGCAAACAACAAAGGCAAACUUCAGGUACUUAAACUUUGCAAAGGCAGACCGCUCUUUGAGUUGCCUGUCCCUUUUCUUUUGUACUUCCUCUCUCAUUUCCGCUGUUUAGCCUAAGUCUUAUUGUUUUGCUUGGUUUUUGCUUUUGUUUUUGUCUGAGACAGGUAAUGAAGAGGUAACCAGACCCUUUCCCCCUCCAGCCCAUCAGGGCUUAGAGACGAAACUGGGCUGGCAGGUGGCAGAAUACCAUGGGGCUCGUCUUUGGACCAGCCAUUCUGUCCAUCUUGUCCCUCUGAGCUUGCUUAACAUGGUUGCAGUGUUUCUUUCUUUUUUUCCCCCCAGAGUUAUAUUGAAAAAGACAAGGUUGCUUCAUGAUGCUCAGUGUCCUUUGAGACUAUUUUAAAAGCCAAAUUUUUUGACAGAAAAGCCCUUCAAAUGUUGCAGUAUAACUCGCUUUCCUACAGGUUUAUUCUGUGGUACUGCUGUAAGGCCUACAACAGUAUAGGGGGGUAGGGGGGAAUGUAAAGUUCUUCCUCCAAAAUGACAUCUCCAAAGCCCAGCCCAAUGAUGAUUUCAUAUGAACUUGUGCAAUGCCCCUUCUCCAAUGCAGUUGCUGGCCCCGGACAUUGCUGUGGCACCAGGUAAAGUGGUUGUCAUGGCAUAGCUGUAGAUUUUGAAGUACAGGAGGACCCCCGUAUCCAUGGGAUCAGUAUCUUUUGUUUCAUUUAUCCAGUCUGAAAAUAUUAAAAGAAAAAAGAAUUCAAAAGAACUAUUUUUACAUGCUUUACCAGAACCAGCCACUAAAGGGGACUAGAGACUGUGUUAUGAAUACUUGGUAGUGAAGAAUGCAUAGCAUGGUCUCUCAUGCUCACUAGUGACCAGGUAUGGUAAUACAUGUGUGGCGAUCGCCCAUGUCACUCAUGCUAUUCAUAUCCAUGGGCUGAUUUGCAUGAACCUACGAGAGGGCUGGAGGGGGGGAGUCAUCAGCUACAUGAGGCUUGGCAGGAGGAGGGGUCAGAAUGGGAUUUAUUUAUUUAUUUAUUUGAUUUGAUUUGAUUUGAUUUGAUUUGAUUUGAUUUGAUUUGAUUUGAUUUGAUUUGAUUUGAUUU
rnacentral:lncRNA from 1 species